rnacentral:rRNA from 1 species
GAUGAACGCUGGCGGCGUGCCUAAUACAUGCAAGUCGAGCGAACAGACGAGGAGCUUGCUCCUCUGACGUUAGCGGCGGACGGGUGAGUAACACGUGGAUAACCUACCUAUAAGACUGGGAUAACUUCGGGAAACCGGAGCUAAUACCGGAUAAUAUAUUGAACCGCAUGGUUCAAUAGUGAAAGACGGCUUUGCUGUCACUUAUAGAUGGAUCCGCGCCGCAUUAGCUAGUUGGUAAGGUAACGGCUUACCAAGGCAACGAUGCGUAGCCGACCUGAGAGGGUGAUCGGCCGCACUGGAACUGAGACACGGUCCAGACUCCUACGGGAGGCAGCAGUAGGGAAUCUUCCGCAAUGGGCGAAAGCCUGACGGAGCAACGCCGCGUGAGUGAUGAAGGUCUUCGGAUCGUAAAGCUCUGUUAUUAGGGAAGAACAAAUGUGUAAGUAACUAUGCACGUCUUGACGGUACCUAAUCAGAAAGCCACGGCUAACUACGUG